rnacentral:rRNA from 1 species
GGCAACCUGCCUGUAAGACUGGGAUAACUUCGGGAAACCGAAGCUAAUACCGGAUAGGAUCUUCUCCUUCAUGGGAGAUGAUUGAAAGAUGGUUUCGGCUAUCACUUACAGAUGGGCCCGCGGUGCAUUAGCUAGUUGGUGAGGUAACGGCUCACCAAGGCAACGAUGCAUAGCCGACCUGAGAGGGUGAUCGGCCACACUGGGACUGAGACACGGCCCAGACUCCUACGGGAGGCAGCAGUAGGGAAUCUUCCGCAAUGGACGAAAGUCUGACGGAGCAACGCCGCGUGAGUGAUGAAGGCUUUCGGGUCGUAAAACUCUGUUGUUAGGGAAGAACAAGUACAAGAGUAACUGCUCGUACCUUGACGGUACCUAACCAGAAAGCCACGGCUAACUACGUGCCAGCAGCCGCGGUAAUACGUAGGUGGCAAGCGUUAUCCG